rnacentral:rRNA from 1 species
CAGCCGUAAACUAUGCUCGCUAGGUGUCAGGCAUGGCGCGACCGUGUCUGGUGCUGCAGGGAAGCCGUGAAGCGAGCCACCUGGGAAGUACGGCCGCAAGGCUGAAACUUAAAGGAAUUGGCGGGGGAGCACAACAACGGGUGGAGCCUGCGGUUUAAUUGGACUCAACGCCGGACAACUCACCGGGAACGACAGCAAUAUGUAGGCCAGGCUGAAGACCUUGCCUGAAUCGCUGAGAGGAGGUGCAUGGCGUAGACGUCU